UUCUUUUGGGUGGAAGUGGAGAAGUGUUCUCCUCAGUGAAGGUAGUGACAGCCAUAAUGUUUUGAUUUUUAGAAGAAAAUGAAAGAGUAAUAUUUCUUGUAGGGGGCAGAGCACUUGUUUGAUGAAAAGAAGAAGGCGGAUAUCAGAGUUUAUAUAGGUUCUAGUCCAUGUAUUAUCUAAUCUUGUAGUCAUUUUCUUAGCAGGCCAAAUAUAUGCUUUUGCUUGUCCAUAUGCAUUGGUUAUAAAAUUGCUACAGCUUAAGGAUCUGUUUGUUUUGUGCUUAUAUGCUCUUUGUUGGAUUUACUUAUUUCAAUAUAUAUUUGGUAUACAUGAACUAGGAAAUGGUCAUCCAAUUUAUAAGAAUUUUUGCCUUUGGUUUGUCUUUAAGGCUUUUAUUAUUAUUUUGUUUCUCAUUCAUACUGUAUGCCUAUUCCUUCUGCAUUUUUGUUAAGUACAACAACAACAACAUACCCAGUGAGAUCCCACAAGUGGGGUCUGGUGAGGGUAGGAUGGACACAGACCUUACCUUUACCUUUGUGGGGUAGAGACGCUAAAUCUGAUAGACCCUCGGCUCAAAAGGAAUGUCAUCAAAGUAGGCUUGCGAGAAAAAUAUAACAAACAAAUAGCACGAUACAAAGCAAAUAAAGCAACAAAUAGCAACACACAUUUUAGAACAGGAGACUACACAAUUACUAAAUACUACUACCAAUAAAGUGGAGUAAAAUGAGGAUCUUGAUAGUUUUUAUUGUAUUGUACUACCUAGUGCCUUGAUAGAUCAGAAUUUGGUCAUGAGAGGAUGAUUGCAUCAAUACAUAAUUGUUCCUUCUUCUUGAAUAAUCAUCAAUUUCUUUGUCAUGGACUACCAAGAAAGGUCAAAAUGAAGUAGAAAUUCAGCUUAUGUCAAUAAUCUACAAUUUUUACAAUCCUAUAAUUGAAGUUCAUAUCUAUCUAAUUUUAAGAUUCAUCUGUGACUCUGGAGCAAAAUGUUUAACAUCCAAGAUUGAUACAAGUACGACCUCGUAGAUGGACAUUUUUGAGCAUGUUGAACGCAACCGAGAAAGUGCACACGUGUAAGUGUGAAGGAGUCUCCAAAAUCGUCCAUAAUGUGCACUACAUAGGCUCCUAUGGGACUUUGGAUUAAAAAGGACAAAGAAGUUAUCCAAUUAAGAGGGAAUCCUUCAAGUUUUUUAAAUUAGGUGGGAGAGACAACUUCUUUUUGAGUUUUUUUUUUUGAAGUUUUUUUCGUCCCAACAACUUGUUCCAGUUGUAGAACAACUUUGGUAGUUGUUCGACAACUUUGCGAAGUUGUUCAACAACUACCAAAGUUGUUCAACAACUGCGCAAGUUGUUCAACAACUAGGCGCAAUUGUUCGACAACUGCUCCUAGUUGUUGAACAACUAGGCGUAUUUCGACAACUGCCACAAGUUGUUCAAAAAGACUUAGUUUUUUUUUUUAAUAAAUUUAUGGGACCCACUUGUCCCCUUUUCUUUAUUGGAAACUUGGAAGGGUCUUUUGACUCAUUUUUCUCGGCGCCUAUUGCACACUUGAUCGUUAAAGGGCCUUUUUGUCUUUUCACUUUUUAUUUAUGAUGUAAUAUAAAUAGAACAACUUAGGAUUUUUGGGACUUAGGACUCGUUUGGUAGGACGUAUUAAAUAAAAUAAUCCAUGGAUUAAAAGUUAGUCCACCUAUGUACAAUGUUUGGUUGCCCAAUUUAAAUUUAAUCCCACCUAAUACAUG
rnacentral:lncRNA from 1 species